GCCAUGCUAGUUGCACGAGUUUAGACUCGUGGCGGAAAGCUCAGUAACACGUGGUCAAACUACCCUAUAGACCAGGAUAACCUCGGGAAACUGAGGCUAAUCCUAGAUAACGCUCCCCUGCUGGAAUUGCAGGGAGCCGGAAACGCUCCGGCGCUAUAGGAUGUGACUGCGGCCGAUUAGGUAGACGGUGGGGUAACGGCCCACCGUGCCGAUAAUCGGUACGGGUUGUGAGAGCAAGAGCCCGGAGAUGGAUUCUGAGACAAGAAUCCAGGCCCUACGGGGCGCAGCAGGCGCGAAAACUUUACACUGCACGACAGUGCGAUAAGGGAACUCCAAGUGCGAGGGCAUAACGUCCUCGCUUUUGUGUAUCGUAAGGUGGUACACGAAUAAGGGCUGGGCAAGACCGGUGCCAGCCGCCGCGGUAAUACCGGCAGCCCGAGUGAUGGCCAAUUUUAUUGGGCCUAAAGCGUCCGUAGCCGGCCAGACAGGUCCGUCGGGAAAUCUGCUCGCUCAACGAGCAGGCGUCCGACGGAAACCCGCUGGCUUGGGACCAGAAGACUCGAGGGGUACGUCUGGGGUAGGAGUGAAAUCCUGUAAUCCUAGACGGACCGCCGAUGGCGAAAGCACCUCGAGAGGAUGGAUCCGACGGUGAGGGACGAAAGCUAGGGUCACGAACCGGAUUAGAUACCCGGGUAGUCCUAGCUGUAAACGAUGCUCGCUAGGUGUGGCACAGGCUACGAGCCUGUGCUGUGCCGUAGGGAAGCCGAGAAGCGAGCCGCCUGGGAAGUACGUCCGCAAGGAUGAAACUUAA
rnacentral:rRNA from 1 species